rnacentral:rRNA from 1 species
UACGGGGGGGGCAAGCGUUGUUCGGAAUUACUGGGCGUAAAGGGCUCGUAGGCGGCCCACUAAGUCCGACGUGAAAUCCCCAGGCUUAACUUGGGAACUGCGUCGGAUACUGGUGGGCUUGAAUCCGGGAGAGGGAUGCGGAAUUCCAGGUGUAGCGGUGAAAUGCGUAGAUAUCUGGAGGAACACCAAUGGCGAAGGCAGCUCGCUGGGACGGUACUGACGCUGAGACGCGAAAGCGUGGGGAGCAAACAGG